GAUAAACGCUGGCGGCGUGCCUAACACAUGCAAGUCGAGCGGUAAGGCCCUUUUCGGGUACACGAGCGGCGGACGGGUGAGUAACGCGUAGGAAUCUACCCCAGACUGAGGGAUAGCCCACCGAAAGGUGGAUUAAUACCGCAUACGGUCUUCGGAUUAACGCUUCGGCGGUUUGGGAAGAGCCUGCGUAAGAUUAGCGAGUUGGUAAGGUAAUGGCUUACCAAGGCGACGAUCUUUAGCUGGUCUGAGAGGAUGAUCAGCCACACUGGAACUGAGACACGGUCCAGACUCCUACGGGUGGCAGCAGUGAGGAAUUUUCCACAAUGGGCGAAAGCCUGAUGGAGCAACGCCGCGUGCAGGAUGAAUGCCUUCGGGUUGUAAACUGCUUUUGUCUGUGACGAAUAUGACGGUAGCAGACGAAUAAGGAUCGGCUAACUCCGUGCCAGCAGCCGCCGUAA
rnacentral:rRNA from 1 species